UGCCAAACGCUUCGGGUGCCCGCUGCUUGAACUGCCCCAGCAGACAGCAAGGAUCUUGGGAAGGGCAGGAGGCAGUGAAUCAGGAGGCCAGGACUCCAGUGCUGCCACUGGCCUGCUGAGUGGCCCUGGGCAAGCCUCAACUUCCCUGGGCCUCGGUCUUCCCAUCUGUAUCUGCUCGCCCUACUUGUUAAAACGCCUGUGCCCCUUCUGCUGAGCUUCAUGGCCUCCCUAAGCACCACCAGGAAGAAAGUGGAAAACAGAAUUUCACCCAGAAAAACAUUUGAAGCUAACAGCCUACAGGACCCAUUUCUUCACUUAUUGGAAUCUGUGGAGUCUAUUUCUAAAAGCAACUUAUGAAUAUCCCUGGUAUUUAUAGCAGAGACCAGAGACCCGCACAGCUUUUAAAUUUCUAUUUUUCUCUCUCCCUUUUGUUCUCAUUAUAAAAAUAGGCUGAUCGUAA